UUGCAUGUUACUAUUCUAUAUAUUUAAUUAUGCUUUACUCUUUUUACAGUAAGUUAAUUGCUUAGUAAAUUAUGUACUGCUCUAAAAAUGCCAAACUAAAUUUUGUUACACUCCUUGUUAAAUAUUCUUUCAAUUGAUGUAGCUUGUAUUCAUUCAUCUUUACCGUUUAAUAGAUGUUUAGUGUGUUUUUGUAUUCUCUGUCUGAAAACUUGUUUUGUAUAUAACAUUUUACUGAAAAGUGGUAAAAAGGUAAAACCUGUUCUAUUAGCUUUAUUUUCAUGCCUAGUAUCUGUGGUAAUUUUCUUAGUUUUGUUCAAUGAAGUUUGAUUGUGUUUUUUGAUUUAUCUUGUUUAGAGUAGCUGAAACUUGCCAUGCUCAUAAGUAAUUCUAGAAAAAUAAUUUUACUACAAAUCCAGCUCUCAUGAGUUUGUUUGGAUGUCCUCUGCAUGCUCAAUUUAAUUUAUGAUUUAUUAUUUCUGUAUAAAUUUUUCAUGCUUAAUUCUUGUUUUAGUUUAUCUUGGUUGAUUGUCAAGGUUGAUGUUUAUGUUGUGUAUCAUUGCAUGUUGAGCUAUUCAUCCCUUAUUUCUAUAUUUUAAAGGCGCGAGGCUCGGCGUGUGCUCAGGAUAGGGCACCCACGUCGUCCUAAAAAAAAUUGAUCGUACGAUCAUAAAUUUACGGCAGCAGUUAUUCCAUUCUGAAACUGUCGUCCGUUAUAUCGUGCAUCUAGAACCUUCUCAAUCUUCUCUCCAUUCCUCUUCCUCUCCAACGACCUAUCACCGCUCCCCCCUCCUCCCAAUCGCGCUCUUAGGCAACGCGAGAAAUGGCAACCUCCAAUCACUCUGCUCCUCCGACCCGCCCGUCAGGAAGCAAUGGGAGGAGCUCGACUGCAGAGCCGGCCAUGGCGCCAGCGCGGACGAAGACCGGCGUGUCUAGAAGAGCGUUUUGGCCUAUCAUUGUGUGCUCAGGAGGAUUCCUUCCCAGCGGAAGGCCAGCUCGCCGGUGGGCGACCUGCGAUGAGGCGCUGACGAAGGCUGUGGCUGACCUGCUGAGCCCAUGGUCCUGCUCCCCCUCCUCGUGUGCCUGCUCUUCCUCAUCCGCGGCUGCGGCCUGCACACGGUGACACGGCCAGGAUGGUCAAGUCGAGGACAAAGGUCGAUGGCGCCAAGGUCACGCGGGAGGCUGUGGAGACGUCGACCUCUCCCCACCGUAGACCGCCCCACGUCGCCAUUUGCAUUUUCGGCCUCGCGGUCGGCGCCUUCGCCGUGGAAGCAAAGAAGCGGCGGCAGUCUAACCUACCCAUGGAGACGGUCCGCCGUAGGAAGAUAUAUAAGAAGGUCUGCAGCUAGGCAUCCAGCCUGCCGGCCGGGUCACGCUGCACGUCGCCGGCGAGGCAUUCCUCGUUGGAGACAGAAUCCGCAGCGUGCACAUCUCCCACAUCGUUGUCUUCCCCAAUGCGCCGACUCCUAUAUCCUGUGCACCCGGCGCUUCCCCUCUUCUCUCCCAUCCGGAUUCCAAAGCGCCAUUGACGUACCAGCGCGGGCUGGCCGCUCGUGGCUCCAAUAGGAUGUAUUUGAAUCUUGAGGAAAAUGACUCAUGCCUAGAAUUUGAGAGUUCGCUCCUAGCGCUUUGUUGUUAUGGCUGCUGAUUGGUCUGCGCAGCUUUAUUCAAUAAGUACCUUCGGUUGGUUCGUUACAGCUAGUGGCUGCUUCUUUGCCAACGGAAUGCCUAUGUGAGGUUCUUAGACACUGCUGUCAUUUUCAAACCAGCAUUUCAUCAGCAAAGGUAGGUGGAGGCUCAGAAAACUAUCUAAUCUUUAAUUUCGUUUUGCCAAUCUGUACUUGGAUUUCCUAGGAAUUAUUUACUUGCCUAAACGGUCAUCUUUACCUGCAGAUGAUAUCAAGGAUGCAUCUUCCAAUGUUCAGUUUCACUGACAGGAAAAGGCCAUGUAAGUGAACCUCCAAUGCAUCCUUGGAUGGAUCAUUUUUUUCACAUCUAUAAUGAGUCAUGUAUAGUUAUUUACUAUUUUGGUUCCCCAGACGAACCAAUGAUCUAAGUGUUACCCAUCAUAGUUUGGAAAUAGUUUGCACAUGUUGUCUGCUAACUUCUGGCAUCGACUUUUACUGGAUUGACAUUUUUAAAUAUUGUACAAUAAACUGGGCGCUCAUGUUAAAGUGCUUUAUCUAUAAAAAGCUGGGGGUGAUAGUGCGAUGGCUGAUAGGGACAUGAAGCUGUGCCCAAGGUGUGCAUGGUCUUAGCAAAUCCAACAAUCAAAUUCUUAACCCUGUGGAUGUAGGACCUUCAAUUUUCAUCGGUAAUUAUGUUUGAUUUCCACAUGCUCAGAGAGUAACCAAUUUAGUAUAUGGUUCUUCAACGUACCUUCUGUGAUUACCAUACAUGUUGCAGUAUUACAGAACUACCCUUGACCAGCAUUUCUGCUACAACAGGCCAGCAAGGACAAGCUGUGAGCAAUCAUUGCUGCAGACUCUAGGUUCUAAGUUUGAAGCAAACUGUUUAUUCGUGUGGUUUUUGUAACACCCCAGGUGUUAAUCACAUGUAAUUAGAGUUAAUCAGGUGCUUAGCAUGAUCCUUGGCAUUAAUCAUUCAUGUAUAAAUACUUGAAAUAAAUUUUUCUAGCAUUUUAAUACAUGUGAUGUUAAAUUUCCUUUUAA